UAUCCGCCAGGAAACUACGAGCGAAAAGCUUAAAACCCAAAGGACUUGGCGGUGCUCCACACCGACUUAGAGGAGCCUGUCCUAUAAUCGAUACCCCACGCUAAACCUCACCAAUCUUUGCCAAAUCAGCCUAUAUACCGCCGUCGUCAACCUACCUCAUGAGAGAAGAACAGUAAGUACAGAAGUCUCAAAACUAAAACGUCAGGUCAAGGUGUAGCUAAUAGAAUGGAAGAGAUGGGCUACAUUUUUUAAGAUAAAACAUCUACGGCAUGGUACUAUGAAACUUCUACCUGAAGGAGGAUUUAAUAGUAAAACUAACAAGAAAG
rnacentral:rRNA from 1 species